rnacentral:lncRNA from 1 species
UGCCCGAGGCAGCCUGAGCGCGGCUGGGGCUCGGAAAGCGCCAAGCAGGCAGGGACCGAGAGGGGUGAUGGCGCGCCCACCCCUGCAGAGCCGCCUGCGCGGUUGUCCCGCGCGUCCCUGCCGGCGAAGGCUGUGAGAAGCACCGCGGGGCUACGGCGCCUCCAUCCUCUCUAACAGCCGCGCUUACCAGACAGCCAGCCUCCAGCGCUGCUAGGCUACUCCGAGCAGGGGAGAAAAGACGCCGGUCCGCCGGGGACCAGGAGGGAGACGUGAAACCAGAGGCCCGGGGGCCCCCUCUCCGCCUGUGCGACUUGUAGUCUCGUACCAGACGCGUCCGCUUCACUGCUGAAUCUGAAAACGUGGGCUCUUGAGAGCUGCCCUUGGAAGGAGCUGUGCUUUCUGCCUCAUCUUUAACUUUUCGUUUAUUCAGCAAAUAUGUAUCAAGUUCCGACUUCGUGGAAGAGAUUGUGUUAGACACUGGGAGUAAUAGAAACAUAAUUAAGAAGCAGGGGUCCCGGACCUGAAGGGCCUGAGCGUCGGUUCUGAAGGCUGAGAAGUUCAAGAGCAAGUGCUGGCAUCUGAUGAGGGCCUUCUUGCUGUAUCAUCCUACGGUGGAAGGGUUUCACUGUAUCUCCCAGGCUGGAAUAUAGUGGAGAUCAUGGCUCACUGCAACCUUGACCUCCUGGGCUCAAGCGGUCUUCACACCUCAGCCUCCCCAGUAGCUGAUCCUACAGGUUCUUUCAAACUGGGAAAGCUCAUUAAAAGAAAAAUGAGAAAAUCUAUUGGCUGGAUCCUGAACCCUUGGAAGCUCUGUCUGGAUACAUUCUUCUCUGGCAGGUGAGUAAAGGUGAGGUACAAAUUGAUUGCUAUUGGGAGAGAAAAAAAAGGUUCUAUUUAGUGCAAUAAGGUCUUAGCUUCCAACCACUCUAUGGAACCCCUGGGCCUGGUGGCCUGGGUAUAACUAGAUGGGACCAGAAGAGUAUCAUCUUAUGAGCCUUAAGGAGUAGCUAACUACCCUCUAUCUUUCCCUUAAUUACUGGUCCAGAAACUGUUAUUCUAUCACAGAGUUCCUCAACCUGGGAACUGUUGACAGAUAAUUCUCCAUGGGGCAUGCUGUUCUGUAUAUUGUAAGACAUUGGCCAGGUGCACCUUUAAUCCCA